rnacentral:lncRNA from 1 species
AAUGGCUUUGUGGUUUCUGAGCUCAACUCAAAAGGAAAGGAAUUUUCUGCUAUCACCCAUUAAUUUGGAAAGUUGUAGGGCAUUUGUAUUAAAACAAAAAGGAUGUGUGUAACUCCUUUUUUCUUUUUUCUUUUUCUGUACGUGCCUUGGGCUGCUGGAACCAGCAGAAUGGGAAAAAAAGUUCCCUUGACUGAGUGACAUAUAUUUUUCCAAUAUUAAAAACAACCAUUUAUAUGUUUCUUUUCAGGAAGGAGCUCAAAGUGUGUUGUUAAUGGGAAGGGGAAAAAAAAAAGCAAACCAGCUCUUCUAUCUGGAAGAUUGUGAAAUAUUUCCCAACAUUUCACAUACUGAGACCAGAAGUAGGGAGAAGACUCACAAUGGAAGGACCUUUUCUGUCUUUGAAUGUGGUGUUCUACUCCUCCAUAACACCGAGAUGAUCAGAGCCCUGGCAGGGCAUUAGUCUGUCCAAGUGCCAGCAGAGAAGCUCCAACCUGACAGC